CCUACGGGAGGCAGCAGUGGGGAAUAUUGGACAAUGGGCGAAAGCCUGAUCCAGCCAUGCCGCGUGAGUGAUGAAGGCCUUAGGGUUGUAAAGCUCUUUUACCCGGGAAGAUAAUGACGGUACCGGGAGAAUAAGCUCCGGCUAACUCCGUGCCAGCAGCCGCGGU
rnacentral:rRNA from 1 species